rnacentral:rRNA from 1 species
AUUGAACGCUGGCGGCAGGCUUAACACAUGCAAGUCGAGCGGGGGGAGGUAGCUUGCUACCUAACCUAGCGGCGGACGGGUGAGUAAUGCUUAGGAAUCUGCCUAUUAGUGGGGGACAACAUUUCGAAAGGGAUGCUAAUACCGCAUACGCCCUAAGGGGGAAAGCAGGGGAUCUUCGGACCUGGCGCUAAUAGAUGAGCCUAAGUCGGAUUAGCUAGUUGGUGGGGUAAAGGCCUACCAAGGCGACGAUCUGUAGCGGGUCGGAGAGGAUGAUCCGCCACACUGGGACUGAGUCACGGCCCAGACUCCUACGGGAGGCAGCAGUGGGGAAUAUUGGACAAUGGGCGGAAGCCUGAUCCAGCCAUGCCGCGUGUGUGAAGAAGGCCUUAUGGUUGUAAAGCACUUUAAGCGAGGAGGAGGCUACUUUAGUUAAUACCUAGAGAUAGUGGACGUUACUCGCAGAAUAAGCACCGGCUAACUCUGUGCCAGCCGCCGCAGUAAUAC